rnacentral:rRNA from 1 species
AAUCCCUUGGCUCAACCAAGGAAGGGCAUUUGAAACUGUCUGGCUUGAGUACGGGAGGGAGAAGUGGAAUUCCCGGUGUAGAGGUGAAAUUCGUAGAUAUCGGGAGGAACACCGGUGGCGAAGGCGGCUUCCUGGACCGAUACUGACGCUGAGACGCGAAAGCGUGGGGAGCAAACAGGAUUAGAUACCCUGGUAGUCCACGCCGUAAACGUUGGGCACUAGGUGUUGCGGGUAUUGACCCCUGCAGUGCCAAGGGCGAAUUCCACAGUGGAUA